ensembl:lncRNA
CUCAGCAUUUUUGUAAUGCAGAUGAGCGUCUUCCUUGAACUGCACAGUACUUGGAAAGCUCUGAGAAACGUUCAUCUCCUGAGGGCAGGAAAUUCCCAAAGCCCCCCUGUUAGCGGCCUACGAUCAAAUCCUGGCAGGCUCUUUGGCCCUCUGUCCCGCUUUCUCUCGCUCACCUGACAUCUACCCAUGCUUCCUAUUGGUGCUGCAGCAGCUGAAAGACAUCUGAAAUAUAUGAGAAAUUAACUGGUAAGGCAUCAGCGGCUGCCAGAACUCCAGGGGAAAAGAAAUCCAUGAGCUAAUGGAGUUAGCAGCAAUGCAAACCUGGACACGACUACAAAUUGCUUCAGCACAUGUGAUCCUGAAAACAGAGGGUCAAAGGAGCUGGGUCCCGUUUCCUGCAGCACUUGCUUGGCUCAGCACUGAGUCUGUGUGCUGAGAUCCGGUGCUGCACACUGGGCACAGGGAGAGCUCUUUUUUGGUUGACUCUUCUGGACUGUCUUCCCGAGGCAGAAGCUGGAAACCACCAUGGCCUCAGGGUUUCAGCACACAGAGAUCCCAGUGAAUGAGGCCCAGCGUGGAGCGGUUAUUUUCAAGGGCACUGCUACCAAUCUAUCCAGAGAGAGAGCUGGUCUCUGGGCAUCACUAAGAGGACUCGGAUAACACAGCAGGAGCAGGACAGAGUUGUACAGGAGUCAUUUAAAAAUAGAAAAAUAUAAUUUAAAAACAAACUCUUCUGGAUGUAACUUGAAAAAUAAGCAAGUAGAAAAUAUGAAAUGAAUGCAAAGGGCUCCAGGUUUCUCGUUCUUCAAAAGUGGUGAUGGUUCAGGUGGGUGAUGAGCAGCUACAGAAGUAAACUAUUAAAUCAAAGAAAAAAAGAGUAUGUAUGUACAUAUGUAUGCACUUUGAAAGACUUACGCUGAAUUAUAAAUGCUUCUGAAUCAUAAAAAUACAGAGCUUGUCAGUGGUUUCUGUCGAAGAUUGAACAUCUGAUUUCAUUUGUUCACAGCACAGCCUGUAUGAGUUAUCACAUCAAAAUCAGACAGAAGGGAGAAAGACACCACGAUAUCCUGUAGGCUUAAAAAAUAUAAAAUAAAAACGAAC